rnacentral:rRNA from 1 species
UGGGGAAUAUUGGGCAAUGGGCGCAAGCCUGACCCAGCAACGCCGCGUGAAGGAAGAAGGCUUUCGGGUUGUAAACUUCUUUUAUGAGGGACGAAUAAAGUGACGGUACCUCAUGAAUAAGCCACGGCUAACUACGUGCC